AACAUCACCACUAAAGAUUGUGACACUCCAAUCUCUAAGCAGGAUAAUCGGAGACCUCCUCGGCCCGCCAAGCCUGGAAAAAAAUGUGCAGCGGAUUUCAAUGUGUAUGGCAAUAUUUGAGUUCUUCAUGAUACCUUCUGCUCAAUAACAAUGUUGUUGUUAUUAUAUUACAUCUAUAUAUACACAGUACACAGUGAUGUUUGUGUGUGUGUGUGUGCGUGUGUGUGUGUGUUUAUUCAGCUAAAAUAAAUUUGCAAUCAACCUCGCAAGCAAUCAACAAUCAUAUAAUCAGCUAUCAACUUAAUGUUGUGCAUCUGCUCAAUAAACAAUAAUGCCUGA